CCCGGUGACCAUAGCGAGGAGGUAACACCCGUUCCCAUCUCGAACACGGAAGUGAAGGGCCUCUGCGGCAAUGGUACUGCGACGUUGGUUGUGGGAGAGUAGCACGUCGCCGGGG
rnacentral:rRNA from 1 species